ACACACUAGUUCAUGACCUCGGACAUGAGCCUUCCGUAAGCUCAUCAUCUUAUUUCAUUAUAUCAAUCAAGCAAAAUUGUCCUCUUUGUAGUAAAAGAAAUUAAGUUAAUAAUUACAAGCAACUUUGAAUACUUGACCUUGGACUAAUUUGCAAUUUUCAAAUUCUAUCGUUAUCUUUUCCUCUUAAUUUUUUGUGUCAUUGAUUUUCUGGAAAGAACAAUAUUGAAAAGAUCGAAUGAUUUGCACCUGAUAGUUCAAUCAGAUCCCUAUACUUUGAUUUACUUUCUCACAUUUUCUUGUCUAAGUGUGACGUAUUUUUUUUUUCGUUUCUUUUCAGGGUUUCUCAGUACGGAGAGAAGCUUUUAUGCGAGAGACUAGAAGCGUAUAUUUAACAAUGGCUUUUGCGGGUUAGUGCUUGUUGCUGCAAUCUUUGUUGGAGUUGCAGUUCUUCGUAAGAGAAGCGCUCGUUCUCCCCAAAAUCAGGGAUUUGUAGAGGUGAAUCAGGCCAUAACUCCUGAGGAGCGUCACGUUGCCAACAUGCAAAUUAAUGGUUACGAAAAUCCAACCUACAAAUACUUUGAAGUCAAAGAGUAAACCAUCUAAGAUGAGUCACAACCGAAAAGGAGAAUCACUAACGCCAAGCUCUGACUGGGCUUGUGGAACCACGUUUUUGCUGUAAUAUAUUUGUAAUAGAUGUUUUAAUUUUUAAAUUGUACACUACACAGUUUAUAUACUUGACUUAACCGACAUCGGCAUCAGUAUUUUGUUAAAUGUCUGACUACACUAACCGUAUUCUCAGUUGUUCCAACAGUUGCUAAUAUCAGUCAGUCUUAUCUGUACAGAUGACUAUAGUUGUAAAGUUAUAUAUUUGAUACUCAAUCCGUGAGUAGGGCAGAGUUGGCAAAUCUCACGUUUGGGGAAAGUGCGUAGUUAACUAUAGUUUUCUAGCACUCUUACUCAAUUUAAGAUUUUUUGGAAGAAAGAUUUUCUACUUACCUAACCUGAAGUUAAUUUUUAAAAUUUUGCUCACAAAUUGAAGUAAAAUUGGUCAGAAAGUCUUAAGUUGCAUGUAAGUGAAAUUUCACAACUCUGGUAGUGAUAUGUUUAAAAUUUUGAGUAUCUUUUAUAUUCUGCUUCUGAAAUUUUUUUUUUUUUAACCUCUCCGCAGUAUUAUUUAUCUAAGUUUUUCUCAUCCUAGUUCCUUCUUAGUUUUGUCUAUACUCUCGAUUUACAUAAGAAACUUAAGAUCAAAAUUAAUACUCGUCCAAAUAUUUGCAUCAGCUAUUACCUCCCAGUAUUAUAUGCAGCUAGAAAUACUCUCGUGAUUUUACCUCCUCAGUUUUACUUUUUAGGCGUGUUUCUAUCCAUGUAAUCACUAAUUCGGUUUUGAAAAUUUUUGAAUAUUACUCUGAUGUGCUUAUUUUAAAGUAGGACCCAUUCAGUGAAAUCAACGCAGAACAAGGAGAAUGAUACCCAAAAGUUGUGAUUGUAACAGCUCCAUUUCUUCUUUCCGUUCAAUUCGUUUGAUGUUGUACGGUGUUGCGCGAGUUGAAAUAGACAACUGUACAUAAUUUGUAGAUAAGUUUGACAGAAUCAAAGUUUUUACUAUCUAACCUCUCCAUCCUGUCUCCAAAGCUAUCCUUUUUAGCUCACUGCAUGAAAUUUAAUCAAGCAUCAAUGCGCUAUUGCAUCAUUUUAGACUUUUUAUCCUAACCCCUCUAAAGUGCUUAGAAGAAGAAAUUAUCAGUUCAGAGCAAAAUUUACAGAUUAGAACUCAACGUUUUUCUAGUGCAGAACUCUUGAAAACUUGAUUUACUAAUCUGAAAGUUAGUAAUUUUCUUGCAAAUAAUUUUCAGCCCUCGCAAGGUGUUAGACAG
rnacentral:lncRNA from 1 species